UACAGAGGUGGCAAGCGUUGUUCGGAAUUACUGGGCGUAAAGGGCGCGUAGGCGGCCUUGUAAGUCUCGUGUGAAAGCCCUCGGCUUAACUGAGGAUCUGCACGGGAUACUGCGAGGCUCGAGUUCGGGAGAGGAAAGCGGAAUUCCGGGUGUAGCGGUGAAAUGCGUAGAUAUCCGGAGGAACACCAGUGGCGAAGGCGGCUUUCUGGACCGACACUGACGCUGAUGCGCGAAAGCGUGGGGAGCGAACAGG
rnacentral:rRNA from 1 species